rnacentral:rRNA from 1 species
UACAGAGGGUGCAAGCGUUGUUCGGAAUUACUGGGCGUAAAGGGCUCGUAGGCGGCCAACUAAGUCGGAUGUGAAAUCCCCAAGCUUAACUUGGGAACUGCAUCCGAUACUGGAUGGCUUGAAUCCGGGAGAGGGAUGCAGAAUUCCAGGUGUAGCGGUGAAAUGCGUAGAUAUCUGGAGGAAUACCGGUGGCGAAGGCGGCAUCCUGGACCGGCAUUGACGCUGAUGAGCGAAAGCUAGGGGAGCAAACGGG